ACCUAAUCAAGCCUGGGCAAUGGCAGGCGCCCCUCCCCCAGCCUUGCUGCCGCCUUGCAGUUUGAUCUCAGACUGCUGUGCUAGCAAUCAGCGAGACUCCGUGGGCGUAGGACCCUCUGAGCCAGGUGUGGGAUAUAAGCUCGUGGUGCGCUGUUUUUUAAGCCCGUCGGAAAAGCGCAGUAUUCAGGUAUCAUCAGCUGUUUAUUUCUUCAGACAUAGUUAAAAUCUAAAAGAAAAAAGAAAAAAAAGCCCAACAUUCAGAAUCCCCAAGAUGCAUACGUAAAUCCUAAUAGAAAAUGCUCAGUUCAAGAAGUUCCAUUGAGGUGAAGCAAUGAUGCAAGGCUUUUGGCAACCGUUCCCCAGCUCCCAGCCACACAUCGCUCCACUUACCUUGAGUGACAGCCUCCAAAGAAAAGUUUCCACCGCGCCAGAGUCUUGACCCUGAGUGGCAUCGGCAGGGUCUCCUGCGGCAGACCAGGGGUGUUGCGGGCUGCGCUGGGUGGGGGACCGCGCGCUGCACGUGCAGUGCCGCCCGGACGGCGGCGAAAGGACAGCGGUGCACCCCGCCCGAGGCCCCAGCGAUCCAUCAGGGCGGCUGUACGCGGGAAGACGCUUCAUCUCAUCCCUAGAUGGCAGCAGGAUUCUGAAGCUGGCGCAGCCCUGGGCAGCCCUUUCUGGUCUAUUUUCCUGAACAGAUUGCCAGGGGAUACGGCGGCUAAACAGCCAGGCGCCUCCCCGGAGCGCAGCUCAGACAGAAGAGCAAGACGGACAGACGCCGCUGGCGAGGCUUCAGGGGUCAGAUCCUGCAGCUUGGACACCACAUUCUCUCUUUUUGCACACAGAUAUGCUACUGUGUAAAAAUAAGCAAACAAACAAAAACAGGGGAGUUCAGCUUCUUGGAGAAUGUGUCAUGGUCAAGACCAGUGAUUCUGGACGGUGACAAAAGUCCUGGAGGCCUGAGUGCACAGAGGACACACGCACAGAUGCACAUGAACUCAUGGAGAAACACUGGUCUUCUCUGCCAGGGACCAGGCCGGCCAUGCAGGAAGGGAGCAGGAUGUGAAGAUUCAGACUUUAGCUCCAGCUUCACUACCGUCCUGCCGUGCACUUUGGGGGA
rnacentral:lncRNA from 1 species